rnacentral:rRNA from 1 species
AGUGGCGGACGGGUGAGUAACGCGUGAGAAUCUGCCUUGGGGUCGGGGACAACCACUGGAAACGGUGGCUAAUACCGGAUACGCCUUCGGGUAAAAGAUUUAUUGCCCUAAGAGGAGCUCGCGUCUGAUUAGCUAGUUGGUGAGGUAAGAGCUCACCAAGGCAGCGAUCAGUAGCUGGUCUGAGAGGACGAUCAGCCACACUGGGACUGAGACACGGCCCAGACUCCUACGGGAGGCAGCAGUGGGGAAUUUUCCGCAAUGGGCGAAAGCCUGACGGAGCAAGACCGCGUGAGGGAGGAAGGCUCUUUGGUUGUAAACCUCUUUUCUCAGGGAAGAAGCUCUGACGGUACCUGAGGAAUCAGCCUCGGCUAACUCCGUGCCAGCAGCCGCGGUAAUACGGAGGAGGCAAGCGUUAUCCGGAAUUAUUGGGCGUAAAGCGUCCGCAGGUGGCGAUUCAAGUCUGCUGUCAAAGCACGGGGCUUAACUCCGUAAAGGCAGUGGAAACUGAAUAGCUAGAGUGCCGUAGGGGUAGAGGGAAUUCCCGGUGUAGCGGUGAAAUGCGUAGAGAUCGGGAAGAACAUCGGUGGCGAAAGCGCUCUACUGGACGGCAACUGACACUCAGGGACGAAAGCUAGGGGAGCGAAUGGGAUUAGAUACCCC